AAGUUGACCCACAACAAAAGUCUCUUUGGUUUAUAUUCCCAUCUCCUCUACUCCACUCUCAAAAUUAGAUAACCCUAAUUUCUUUCACAAGACCCAAAGGACACGCCGUUUCGCUUCUUCUCACCACCACCAAGUGAUCUCUUCAGAUGUCGCGUGUGUACGUUGGUAAUUUGGAUCCGCGAGUUACAGAGCGCGAGCUCGAGGAUGAGUUUCGUGUCUACGGAGUCAUCAAGAGUGUUUGGGUUGCAAGAAGACCACCUGGUUACGCUUUUCUUGAUUUCGAAGACUCGAGGGAUGCUCGAGACGCCAUCCGUGACUUAGAUGGCAAGAACGGAUGGAGAGUUGAGCAGUCUCAUAACCGUGGCGGCGGUGGAGGAGGCCGUGGUGGUGGUGGAGGCCGUGGUGAUGGUGGUCGUGGCCGUGGUGGUUCUGAUUUGAAGUGCUAUGAGUGUGGCGAGUCUGGUCACUUUGCACGUGAAUGCCGCUCCCGUGGUGGUGGUGGCUCUCGGAGGGGUCGUAGUCCUUCUCCUCGUGGUCGUAGCCGUAGCCGUAGUCCUCCAAGAUACAGAAAGAGCCCAACCUAUGGAGGCCGCAGGAGUUACAGCCCUCGUGCGAGAUCUCCUCCUCCUCCAAGACGUCGUAGUCCUUCUCCUCGUGGUCGCAACUACAGUAGGUCACCGCCGCCUUACAGAGCACGUGAGGAGGUGCCUUAUACUAAUGGAAAUGGUCUGAAAGAUGUGCGCAGAAGCCGUAGCUGAGUGUUUAAGGGACCAGGGAACUAACUGUUUUCUUGCGACGUCAAGAGGGCAGCUUAAGGGAGAUUAGUAUCUGUGAAUCUCACUAAGAGAAACAUGUGUUUAGCUGUUGGGGUGGAUUGGAUAUGCUUGCUACUUUUGAAUUGCUGGAUCAUGCUUCUUAUUUGAGUUUGGAUAUGAAGCCGUUGUUGUGUCUGCCGUUAGGUUUCUUCGGGUUUCUUCUACUGCUUCAUUGCUUAUCUCUGCUUCUCUACUCUGCCCUGAAGUUUCUGAGGCUACGUUAAUUGAUGAUUGAUCUGCAAUGGCAUCUUCAUAAUAGUUUGUGGAUCCCCUACUUGUUUCUUCGAGUUUCUACUGCUUCAUUGCUUAUCUCUGCUUCUCUGCUCUGCCCUGAAGUUUCUUCGUUAAUUGAUUGACCUGCAAUGUCAUCUUCAUUGUAGCUUGUGGAUCCCUAACUUGCUUAACUCUGUUUUUCUGCUCUGCCCUGCGGUAAAUUGAUUGACAUCUUCAUGAUAGUUUACCACGUUGUGGAUCUUCUACUUGCUUCUGCUUCCUCGCAUGUUUGAAAACUUCAUCAGCUCUGAUGUUGCCUUCUUCAAAACCAUCAUGGCCUUUUUUUUUUCUUGAACAUAAAAGUCUCUUUGUUUAUGCACUGGCAGGUACUUAUCACGCUUUGAAUAAAUUAUCUGCAUUAUAUUAA